UCAUGCCUUUUCUGGACUAGAAAUCAGAAAGUGUGGUGUGAAGACGUGGCUCUGGCACUUAAAUUUGUGAUCAUGGAAAACAACAGGAGAAAUUGACGAAGACCCAGAGGAUCUGCACAUUCGUCAUGGAGCCAGACCUGCACUACCCAUGAAGCUGGUUUGCGCUGAGUGUAAAGGCGGCUACUGCUUGCUCCUGCCCUGCUGUGUCUUAAUGAGGACACAUCCCCUUGAGGCUGGUUUCUCCACAUUACGUCCUCUGGGUGCUCCAUUGGGACUACCAGCUGAUUUAUAAGUACAGAAGUUUCUCCUCAUGCCAUGAUUUUCUCUAUUCACAGGCAUAAUUUUGGUCACAUUUUUAGCCACUUACUCCUUAGUCUCUGCUUGUAUAAUUCCUCCUCCUUAUAUGUGAGACACAGCAAUUCCCUUCUUUUGCUCUCUGGUCCUCUUUGAUGUUGGUCAGCUCACCAUGUUCACAUAUAGACUGUCACUUAAUGUUGUGAAAUUUAAUCUCAGAAGAGUCAUUCAGGGGCAGUGAAAGUAGAGGUUAAAAUCACCUGUCACUUUCAGUGAAAGGAGGAAACAUGUUUAAAAAGAUGAAGUAAUCUCACCUUUAAAAAAUACUGGUAUAUUUUGGGGUGGGGUGAAAAUGCUAUACAUCCACGGGCAACUAUAAAUUAAACUUGAGCUGUGAAAUCUGACCUCUUCACAUACCUGAAUAAACAUGUGAGAAAGAAGG